GUUUGAUCAUGGCUCAGGAUGAACGCUAGCGGCAGGCUUAACACAUGCAAGUCAGGGGUAUUGGUUUUCGGACCAAGAGACCGGCGCACGGGUGCGUAACGCGUAUGCAAUCUACCUUUUGCAGAGGGAUAGCCCAGAGAAAUUUGGAUUAAUACCUCAUAGUAUAGUACCUUGGCAUCAAGGAACUAUUAAAGUCACAACGGCAAAAGAUGAGCAUGCGUCCCAUUAGCUAGUUGGUAAGGUAACGGCUUACCAAGGCCACGAUGGGUAGGGGUCCUGAGAGGGAGAUCCCCCACACUGGUACUGAGACACGGACCAGACUCCUACGGGAGGCAGCAGUGAGGAAUAUUGGACAAUGGGCGCAAGCCUGAUCCAGCCAUGCCGCGUGCAGGAUGACGGUCCUAUGGAUUGUAAACUGCUUUUAUACAGGAAGAAACACUGGUUCGUGAACCAGCUUGACGGUACUGUAAGAAUAAGGAUCGGCUAACUCCGUG
rnacentral:rRNA from 1 species